rnacentral:rRNA from 1 species
GUUGAACGCUGGCGGCGUGCCUUAUACAUGCAAGUCGAGCGGACACAGCACUUGCUUGCCUCUCUGGUGUUAGACGCGGGCGUGAUACUACCACAUGGACCACCUACCUAUAAAACUGUACUCACAUCAGGAAACCAUACCUCAUACCGGCUAAUAUUUUGAACCGCAUGCUUCCAAACUGUACGACACUCUUGCUGCCGCUUAUAGAUGGAUCCGCGCUGCAUUAGCUAGUUGGUAAGGUAACGGCUUACCAAGGCGACGAUGUGUAGCAGACCUGAGAGGACGAUCGGCCACACUGGAACUGAGACACGGUCCAGACUCCUACGGGAGGCAGCAGUGGGGAAUCUUGCGCAAUGGGCGAAAGCCUGACGGAGCAACGCCGCGUGAGUGAUGAAGGUCUUCGGGUUGUAAACUGCUGUUAUUAGGAAAGAAAAUAUGUGUAAGAAAACGUGCACAUCUUGACGGUACCGAAACAGAAAGCCACGGCUAACUACGUG